rnacentral:rRNA from 1 species
UACAGAGGUCUCAAGCGUUGUUCGGAUUCAUUGGGCGUAAAGGGUGCGUAGGUGGCGCUGUAAGUCGGGUGUGAAAUUUCGGAGCUUAACUCCGAAACUGCAUUCGAUACUGCGGUGCUUGAGGACUGGAGAGGAGACUGGAAUUCAUGGUGUAGCAGUGAAAUGCGUAGAGAUCAUGAGGAAGACCAGUGGCGAAGGCGGGUCUCUGGGCAACAACGUGACGCUGAGGAGCGAAAGCGUGGGGAGCGAACAGG